CAUGGAAACUGAUAAAGCAGCUUGGGGUGAGAGAUCCUCUCUUGAGGUUCUGGGCUUCAUGUAGAUUGCUGUAGAUCAUAUCGAUUUUGAAUUUGAUUCGUACGGUUCUACAAUUGCGCGGGAGCUUGAAGAAUGUGUCCGUGAAUUUGUUAGAGAGACGUUGGAUAAGGUGCUUCUUCGUAAGUUUAGUCUGGGGAUGCUUGGUGGUGAAUUCACUGGCAAUCGACAUUACGCGCUGCAAAAUCAGCAACGAUCCCUAGAAGUAACGAGACCUAUUUGCUUUUCUUAUAUAAGGCAAAGCUUGCUUUGGAAAGCCUUGAAGUUGCAGUUGGGCAACAAGACAUGCAAAGAUGGAAGCUCUUGAUGUCCUUCAGGAACAGUGGCAGAUGACUGGAUUUUCAGCUACAGAAGUUGCAGAGAAAUUUUCAGUAUACUCCCUUUAUGUGACAUGUGAACCAUGCAUAUAUGUGCAGUAGCAUUAUCGAUCAUUGGUAGAAAGGAAGUAUAUUAUGGCUGUACAAAUGAUAAAUUUGGAGGCUGUGGCUCAAUAC